rnacentral:rRNA from 1 species
AAAAACAUGGCUUCUCGUUAUAAAUCUAUGUGAAGUCGUACCUGCCCAGUGAAAUUUUAACGGCCGCGGUACUCUGACCGUGCAAAGGUAGCAUAAUAAUUUGCCUUAUAAUUGAAGGCUGGAAUGAAUGGUUUGUCAAGGAUAAAACUGUCUCUAUAAAAUUUUUUAAAAUUUUAUCUUUAAGUGAAAAAGCUUAAAUCCCAUUAAAAGACAAGAAGACCCUAUCGAGCUUUAAAGAACUUAGUAAGUAUUUUGUAACCCAUUGGAAAUUAUAUUACAAAAAAUUUUGGUUGGGGCAACCUAGGAGUAAGAAAAGCCUCCUUUUUUUAAAAAACUAUUUUGUUAAGAUCCAAAAUAUUUGAUUACAAGAAAUAGUUACCGUAGGGAUAACAGCAUUAUUUUUUUUAAGAGUUCUUAUCGAAAAAAAAGUUUGUGACCUCGAUGUUGGACCAGAAUAUCCUAAAGAUGUAGAAGUCUUUAAGGGUUGGUCUGUUCGACCAUUAAAAUUCUACGUGAUC